rnacentral:piRNA from 1 species
AGUGUCCAUGCUAGGGGAGACUCAA